CGGACGCCCGCACUUCCUGGUCGGAGCGGGCCUAGCGGUGGCGGGGUCCCAACAGAGUCCCCGGGGGCUACGCUUGUUACUCCGCUCCUUCUCCUGGGAGCGCUGGGGGCGGAGCCCGGCCAGCGCGCGGAGCUCCCGCCCCUCUCCCGGCGGUCACCUGGGGCCGGGCGCAGCAGGUGUCUGGUCCCGCGCCCAGCGCCGGGGACGCGGAGCACGAUCCGGAGCCCCGCCGCGCCGGGUGGCCCCAGGAGGUGGCGGCAGGGCCGAUCCCCUGAAUUCCAGAGGCGACCGCAAGGACACAGCCCGCGGAGGAAGGUCCUGCAGGCCGAAGACGUGCAAAUGACUCUGAGCUUAGUCACAUGGCAUCUGGAAUGCCACGUACCAAAAUCAAGAUCCCUAAAGGAAGUAAAACUGAGAUUAUCAGCCAAGAAGGACCUACUGGAGAAAGCACAGGAUGGAAGCUAAAAUGAAGCAGUGUUUUAUCGUAUGUACUUCAGCAGAUCUUCUGCAGUUCAGCUAAAACCAUGACUGCUCUUUCUUCAGAGAACUGCUCUUUUCAAUACCAGUUACAUCAAGCAAAUCAGCCUCUAGAUG
rnacentral:lncRNA from 1 species